rnacentral:rRNA from 1 species
GACGAACGCUGGCGGCGUGCUUAACACAUGCAAGUCGAACGGAAAGGCCCUGCUUUUGUGGGGUGCUCGAGUGGCGAACGGGUGAGUAACACGUGAGUAACCUGCCCUUGACUUUGGGAUAACUUCAGGAAACUGGGGCUAAUACCGGAUAGGAGCUCCUGCUGCAUGGUGGGGGUUGGAAAGUUUCGGCGGUUGGGGAUGGACUCGCGGCUUAUCAGCUUGUUGGUGGGGUAGUGGCUUACCAAGGCGUUGACGGGUAGCCGGCCUGAGAGGGUGACCGGCCACAUUGGGACUGAGAUAGGGCCCAGACUCCUACGGGAGGCAGCAGUGGGGAAUAUUGCACAAUGGGCGGAAGCCUGAUGCAGCAACGCCGCGUGCGGGAUGACGGCCUUCGGGUUGUAAACCGCUUUAGCCUGUGACGAAGCGUGAGUGACGGUAAUGGGUAAAGAAGCACCGGCUAACUACGUG